UACAGAGGUCUCAAGCGUUGUUCGGAUUCAUUGGGCGUAAAGGGUGUGUAGGUGGCGCGCUAAGUCGGGUGUGAAAUUUCGGAGCUUAACUCCGAAACUGCAUUCGAUACUGCGGUGCUUGAGGACUGGAGAGGAGACUGGAAUUCAUGGUGUAGCAGUGAAAUGCGUAGAGAUCAUGAGGAAGACCAGUGGCGAAAGCGAAUCUCUGGACAGAUCCUGACGCUGAUGCACGAAGGCUAGGGGAGCAAACGGG
rnacentral:rRNA from 1 species